UUGGAUUUAUAUUUUAAUUUUCCUCAUUCUGAUAAAUUUUUUGGCGGGAAAAAGACUAGUUAGAGGCGAGUGACAGGUGGCGCUUCAUUGCCACUUGAAACACAGAAGGAGGAGGUGCUGUCGGUCGUCUCUCUGACUUCACCGCCGAUGUUCGUACAAUAUAAUGAUGGAUCCAGUUACUGUUAAAGGCCACUGCUGCAUCAGUGGUCGUCAGCGUGGGUAGUACAGCACCUCCUUAUUCAUUGAGGAUGAUUUGAAGAUGGAGGAUGCAAGAAGUGACCAAGAGUUCCUCUGGAGACCUGACUCUUGCUGCACCAGAAACACAAGUCAGGUUGGGUACAGUACAGGGCAUCUCUCAUUGUGGUUCCUUCACUGAACUCUUAGACAAAUAGGUUCUGGACCUUGUCAAGGAGAGGUGUGCCCUCUGCUGUACCACACAUCUUGCCUCACUUGUAUUGCUGUACCAGGCUUAUCUCCUCCAAUAUCAGGAUGGCAAGUGAUUCACAACACAAAUAAAGCAAGUGCCAAGAUACAGCCCAGACCCAGCCUUCCACCCCUCCUCUCUACCUCAGAAAUGUUUUUCUGAACACUAGUGCCAUGCUGCCCUAGACUGUGCUUACUGGACACUGCCCUGAACUUGCUUGCUGCUGCAGCCCUGGACUCCCCUGUGCUUGCUGCCCUGGACGGCUCUGCUCUGUGCUUGCUGACUGCUGUCCUGGACGGCUCUGCUCUGUGCAUGCUGCUCUCCUGGACGGCUCUGCACUGUGUGUGCCACUCCCCUGGACUGCUCUGCACUGUGUGUGCCGCUCCCCUGGACUGCUCUGCACUGUGUGCUGCUCCCCUGGACUGCUCUGCACUGUGUGCGCUGCUCCCCUGGACUGCUCUGCACUGUGUGUGCUGCUCCCCUGGACUGCUCUGCUCUGUGUGUGCUGCUCCCCUGGACUGCUCUGCUCUGUGUGUGCUGCUCCCCUGGACUGCUUUGCUCUGUGCUUGCUUCCCUGGACUGCAAAUUUAUAGAGCCAUUAAGUUUCCAUUAAUAAAUGUCUAAAUGUCA